UCUCUCUCCUUUUAUAUGAUCUUCAUUUACAUUCAUUCAUUUUAUGUGUAUAUAAAGAUGGGCACACAUAGGGGAACUUAUCAGAUACAGCAUAUACCUUUCGGGUGCAAUUAUUUACGUCUACUGAAAACUUGCAUUCAAUACAUUUCUUGCAUGUUCAGAAUCACGAAAGGCAUAAAGCUACAGAACAGAUAAAAAUUUUCAAUUCUUCAGUGAGUUUUCGCAAGUUUACAGAAUGUGGACUUCAUGUGAGAACUUUCUGCAGGAAUGUUAGGUAUGAGAACAUCAACUAUUUCAUAUCUUUCACACUCAAAAAGAACCUAUCCAGCCACUUAAAUAUUACGCCUGCUGUUAAACAUUGGAACAACAGUGAAUGUAAUGAACCCACCACACGGUGACAUCCUGACACCUUGAGAAAACACAGCUGUCUGCUUUCCAACUCAUUUUACUAAAGCAAUUCAAUUCAUGCAUAUUCAAACCUCCACCACAUGUUAAAUAGAAAGUCUUUUAAUAUGUAUGCGAUAUGUUUUGAGUACCGUUGUUUUCAUCAGUACUUCUGCUCUCGAUGCACUCUCUUGGCGUGUAUGCACAGUUGUGUAUGCCUGAAGUGGUGAUAUGCUCCAUUUCAAGGAAAUUAAUAAUAAAGCAAUGAGGAAGUCACUCAUGCAGAUGCACCUGGUGCUGCACACACACAAAGAAUUUUACUCUCUUGGGCUUCUUUUGUCCCCUAAUGAAAAUCCUCAAUCUUGCCUACACUUCCAUUAUUUAACACUCUACACUCGCUACAUUUCUGUCUGGACUUAUCUUGUCCCUACGCAAUAAUCAUUUAUGUUGUGUGAAUUUUUUUCUUUAACUCCAUGCUCCUGGUACUUAAAAGUCAUGAACGGAAUGCAUGUAUCAGCAUUACUGAGAGAGAGAAAUAGAAGACAGGAAAGGCAGGGAGGUUAACCAGAUGCACGUCCGAUUUGCUAUCCUGCACUGGGCGAAGGGGGCAUGGGGAUGAAGAGAAAGAGAGGAGAGAGAGAGCACAGUUUCGCACACAGUGGAAGGUUCGCACCGAGUCUACAGUCUGUUCCCAAGACUUGUUCACUUGAGGUAUUUCAGGAGAGCUUUCGUGGCCUUCUUUGCCAUAGAUGCGAAUGACCAGGGUCCAAGGAUCUUCAUUACGGAAAAUGGUCUAGAGUCCAGCUGGUUCAGUGCUGUCUGGAGAACUUUACGCUCGACGUCGUAUUGGGGACAUAUACAUAGGAUGUGUUCAAUCGUUUCUGUGGUUUUGCUAGAGUCGCACAUGGGCGUAUCCCCCAUUCCAAUGCGGAACGAGUAGGCCUUCGUAAAUGCCACCCGGAGCCAGAGGUGGCACAAUACUGUCGCCUCAGAGCGGGAAAUUUUUGAUGGCACUUGUAGCUUUAAGGAUAGAUCCAGCCUAUGAAAAUGACACUUCAGGACAUUGGGAGAAGACCAGUAUUUGUGGGUCAUAGCUUUAGCCACAAUAUGAAGCUGCCUUGCAGCAUUGGUUCUUGAUAAGGGCAUUGGAACUGAUCAGGCAUCCAGAUGAACAGACCGGCAGCUUCGUCAAUGAGGUCAUUACCAGCAAUACCGGUAUGUCCAGGUAGCCACUGGAAUAUAAUUUCAUGCCCUUUAGCAAUAGCUUGAUAGCGAUCUUCUUUUAUUUCGUGUGUCAGCUGCUCAUGACUCCUACGAUAUAUGGCAAAAUGCAGACUCUGAAGUGCUGCCUUAGAGUCGCAAAAAAUGACCCAUUUCGGAGUUGUCUCUUGCAGGAGAUAUUUGACAGCAGCAUGCAGGGCAGCAAGCUCUGCCCUGCAUUACACAGCAUUCCUGACAAAGUUAUGGGUGUGCAGCACUAGAGAAGAAGUGCACGCAAGACAGAUUACAAAUAUUGUCUGGGGACAUGGUGAGCUCCAAAGGGUGCAUAUUUUUUCUUCGAGUGAGCACUAACAUUUUACACACCUUAGGGUAAUUUUUUUCACAAUGAUCAUCAUCAGGACUGUGUGUGUUUCCUUUCUUACCUAUCUGUCAGGAAAUGCACAGAAGACAUAACUAAGAAGUAAAAGACAUAGUGCGGAAAGACAAGGACAAAUACAAGGGGCACAAGAGACAGGUGCUAAACACAAAACUACAGCUGAAGACCCGAUACAUAUGCCUUUAUAUGCACAUAGUACUGCCUAUUGAAACUGAUGGCUGUUGACUUGAUGUAAAACUCAAGUACAGCAAUGAAGUUGUCACUGGUCACCCCUGUGACGUUUUGGAAUGUGAAUUCAUGAUUCUUUUUUAUUGUGUCACGCACAGCACAACAGUUUACAAUGAGGUACAAAAUAGAAUAAAUCCUCGGUGUCAAUUGAAAAGUUUGUGAGGCUAUUCACUUUUCCCUCUCUGAGUUCCUCGACAAUGCUGAAGUAGCUGCAAACAAGGAACAAUUCUUCUAUAUUUUAGGAACUUUGAUGCUGUUGUAAGUAACAUAGGAUGAGGCAUUGCCAUUAACUUUUCUCCAUAAUUAUCAUUCACAGCGGACAGUCUGGCCUGUGUGUUUUUUUUUUUGUGUGUGCUUCUAAGGAACUGCCUGCUGCCUUUUUUGAAGUGUGUCCAGUCUCAAAUCCUUCAUUAGACUGUUUGCCGUCCUUUUUUUGAAGCUUAAGGUUAGAACUUGUGCGCUUGAAGCUUUUUUUCUCUAUAGCAGCUAGGAUUUCUUUCCUCAACCUUCCCUUUGGACAUGACAAUGAACCCCGCUUGUCCCACAAUAAAAAUCGUAAUCAACCUU
rnacentral:lncRNA from 1 species